rnacentral:rRNA from 1 species
GUGGGGAAUAUUGGACAAUGGGCGCAAGCCUGAUCCAGCCAUGCCGCGUGGGUGAAGAAGGCCCUAGGGUUGUAAACCCCUUUCAGCGGGGAAGAUAAUGACGGUACCCGCAGAAGAAGCCCCGGCUAACUCCGUGCCAGCAGCCGCGGUAAUACGGAGGGGGCUAGCGUUGUUCGGAAUUACUGGGCGUAAAGCGCGCGUAGGCGGACCUGCAAGUCGGGGGUGAAAGCCCGAGGCUCAACCUCGGAACUGCCUUCGAUACUGCGGGUCUCGAGUCCGGGAGAGGUGAGUGGAAUUCCUAGUGUAGAGGUGAAAUUCGUAGAUAUUAGGAAGAACACCAGUGGCGAAGGCGGCUCACUGGCCCGGUACUGACGCUGAGGCGCGAAAGCGUGGGGAGCAAACAGGAUUAGAUACCCGAGUAGUCC